ACCUGCCCCUUCACCUUCACCAUGUCCUUUAGAAUCAGGUGGGUCAUCACCAGCCCUGCUGUUCUCCGCACCUGCUGAGCUGGGUCCCGGAGCCUAGGAGUGAAGUCUCAAGUCACUGGCACUAAUGGAAUGUGUCUGGGGAAAGGCAAGUUCUGUAAAACCAUUCCUACAGUGGUCAAAUGUGUCUAUAAAGAGGAAGCACACCUUAAUUAAACAGGAAAAGAACUAGGAUUCUGUAGUUUUACUUCUAAGUUGCCAAAUGUGAACUGGCAAAUUCAAAGUGGAACAAGCAGCAUUAUUUUCAAGUUGCUAAAGCAUAUUCCUACAUCUCUGAACUCAUCCUCACAGAAGCACGUCAUUUCCUGCAUACAAUCAAUAAACGGAUCAUGGGGACAAUGGUUCAAGGUCACAGAGGUCAGACCUAAUUCCACUGCUGCAAGAUACUCUGUCUUAUUUGUCUGCAAGACACCACUGCCUCUAGUGGAAAGAACACAAGGUCCCCAUAAGGUGGCAGGCCCAGCAACCAUGGCUGAUGGGAAAGGGGGUGCGUGUGUGCUUAUUCUAACAAGCAGUGCCUGAGGGGGAGCCUAGAUUUCAUGCUGAGGUCCCUAACUCAACGCUCUGUUUCCCUAAAACUUUCCUUCCUGGGUGGUCACCAACAGAUCGCUCCAUCUUUGUUCUCACUAACCUUUCCCAGUAACAGCAGCAAGGAGGCAGGGUGUCUUCCUCAUUUAACAGUAGAAAAGCAGAGGUUCCCAGAAGGAAACGUGAGUGACCCACAGUCAGGAAAUAAAUCCGGGAAAUGCUUGGGACACAAACCCAAACACGCAGGCACUUCAUUCACCUUCUCCUUUGGAUCCUUAGUCUUCUGCUCCUGCUCUUCCCGAAGAACCCGGCGCCGACAGAGCUCCCCGCUCACUGCCUGUUCCAAGUGCACCAGCUGCUGCAGAGCCACAUCUCCAGCCAGGGACAGCAGGUUCAUCAACAGGAAAGUGGGGAGCAUGGGGGUGUCCUCUGGAGGAGGGGAGGCAAAGCAGGGAGAAAGAGACAAAAUUAAAUCUCACAGGACCCUGCAUUCUGUGUUGAUGGCUCUACCUCUUGCUCAUGUGCCAUACACAAGCUGGCGCAGAAGAGAGAGAUGGAGACAGUGGAGAGUGGGCGGGGAGGGAUGGGGAUGGUGGCGGUGACUGGCCCAGUCUGAGUGACAGAAGUGAGACAGUGUGGUCUGCGGAGGGUCAGGGGCUGCUGUAGGAAGCAGUGCUGGCAGUGGCUACUGGCUCGACAAGGAAAGCAGUAGACUCUGGCUGCUGCCCACGGGGGACCCUCUUGCCUACUUACUCGGGACCUCCUGGGUGGCGCUCUUCUCCCCCAGCUUCUCCAGGGCCUGCUUCGCACAGCCCUGCAAUAUCUGGGCACAGAUCACCUCGGGGCCCUCUGCCAGCUGGUAAAUGAGGGUCACUGCCACCUCUUUGAAUGGGAUCCAGAGUGGGUCUGGGUGGACAAAGCCUGUAGAGGAGAAGGGAGAAGUCACCCACUGCAGACAAAGGACUCCAUUCUACCCGAGGCCUUCACGAUAGCUCACCUUUUGUGACCACCUCUUGCAGUCGCUCAAACAACCUAUGUUGCUGAGGCAGCCGGAAGGGAGGGUGACGUUUGCUCAGAGAAGGCUGUCGAGAACAGGAAAGACAAAAGAUGGCGUCUGUCUGGAUCUGAGCCUCACCGUGCCAUCAUCCCAAGAAGCAUGACAGAGGAACAGCGCUCCAGAGGAGAGCAGGGGACCUUCUCGGUCGCCCGCUCCCACAGCAGCUGGGUCACUGCCGGUUUCAAUUCAUCCUUCUGCACAAACUCACAGAGCUGAAGAGAAAAGAGAAAGGGCUCAGGCCAAAAAAUAACAACCCCCCACCAAUCCUUGGUCCGCUUCUCUGAAGAGAACGUUGAGAGCCCGAAGUGGGUAAAAGCAAUACUUAGGGAUGGAAAAGGAAGGAGGCUCGAAAUGUAAAGUUGGGGUUUGGGGAGGUACUUGCACCUCUGUCACUUUUCUACCUUCAUGUCUUCAAAACUACAUUUAUUAAGAUGACAUAUUGAAGUCUGUGUGAGUCCAUGGCUCUGACUACAUUCCGGGGAUUUCUAGUAGCUGUUGUUGCUGUGACCACAACUCAACAUGUCUAAAACAGAAGACUCCAUCCUUCCUUGCCUUUUCAUUUUGCCCAGGGUACCAACAUUCUCAAUCACAUAUGCUUAACACUUCACAGUCAGCUAAUUUCUUCCCCACUUAAUCCUAUCCAUUUUUCCUUUAUAAUCUAUCUUCCAUUAAGUGCAACUCUACAGCUUUUCCUCCCAGCCCGAGUCUAGUCCUUUGAUGCUGCACACUUACAGAAGGUCCGUAGACCUCAUCUCUAGCGUCCUCUCCAACCAACCUGUAUGCUCCUGUUGGACCAGUCUCCCAAACAUCUUCUUCAUCACGCCACACCUCUGCUCAUCAUUUAGAAAUAGCUCUCCUUUGGAGCACUUGGGUGGCUCAGUCGGUUAAGUGUCCGAUUCUGGCUCAGGUCAUGAUCCUGCAGUUCGUGAGUUCAAGACCUGCAUCAGGCUGUGUGCUGACAGCUCAGAGCCUGGAGUCUGCUUCAGAUAGAUUCUGUGUCUCCCUCUCUGUCCCUCCCCCACUCACGCUCUGUCUCUCUCUCAAAAAUAAAUAAACAUAAAAAAAAAAAAAGAAAAGAAACAAAACUCUCCUUUGCCUAUAGUAGGGGCUCUGGACCAGGAGAGCUAGCCUGACAUUUCAGCCCAGCGGCUGCCACCAGGCUCCUUUUCUCCCCAAGAGAAAAAUGUGGCUGGCGGUAGUGCUCCACCUGGUGGAAGCUGGUGGUCAGCACACCUCCACCUGUCUCCACAACCCAAAUACUUUUACUUCAAAAGCAGGUCCACCUCACUAAAAUGUUGGCCAACAAGGUGAAAGUCCCGGACUUGUGAAAGGCAUUCAGGGACCUUUACAAUUCAGUUCCAACCUACACUCCCACUUUAUUAUCUUUUGCAUAUAACAGUUUCCAGCCAGAACGUGAUCUUUUUCAUGCCACAACUUUCUGUGCUCUUAACUGGCUUUCCAUCUACAUGUUCCCUCCUUUCUCUCUCUACAUCCUACUCAUCAAGACCCUGUUUCAGUCCUACCACCUCCAGGAAACUGUCCUUGACUGUUCUACCUCAUACUGCUCUCUUGCCCACUCAGGACUCGUCAGGGUAACGUACAAGGUAUGAGUAUGUUUUCUGGAGCUCUUAUUGCCUGAGUCUCUGCCACCAACCAGCUGUGAUUAGCCAAGUUCCUUAACCUCUCAGUGCCUUAAGCUUCUCACUGUAAAAUGUACACUAACAGUAUUACCUCACUGGGUUGUUGUGAGGUUUACACAAGUUCAUAUGAGCAAACUGCUAAGAACAGUCCCUGGCACGUCAUUAGUGUUACCCUAUCACCAUUGCUGCUACAACCAUUACCUGUGCCACAUUUUUUUGGCACUGAAUUACCUAUGUGCCACAUCAUUCUAUAACUGUUUUAUGUUUUUUGGCUACCCACUAUACUGUUGGUUCCUUUUAAGUUGGGAACUUGAAAACAAUCUUAUACUUUGUGGGGCUGAGUAAACUGAUGAACAUGUACAUAGUAAUCACUAAU